rnacentral:tRNA from 2 species
UGGGGCGUGGCCAAGUGGUAAGGCGUCGGGUUUUGGUCCCGCUAUUCGGAGGUUCGAAUCCUUCCGUCCCAG